UACGUAGGGGCCAAGCGUUAUCCGGAAUCACUGGGCGUAAAGCGUGCGUAGGCGGCCAUGUAAGUAGGGUGUGAAAUCCCACAGCUCAACUGUGGAACUGCGCUCUAAACUACAUGGCUAGAGGGAUAUAGAGGUGAGCGGAACUGAUGGUGGAGCGGUGAAAUGCGUUGAUAUCAUCAGGAACACCGGAGGCGAAGGCGGCUCACUGGGUAUCUUCUGACGCUGAGGUACGAAAGCUAGGGGAGCGAACGGG
rnacentral:rRNA from 1 species